CGCCCCACAGAUGAGCCCUGCCUCUCACCCUCCGGUUCUCGGCCUCCUGGUCCAGCGACACCACCUGAUGUUCCCGGUGCUCGGCGGCCAGGCACAGGCCGCAGAUGAAAGUCCGGUCGGUCCGGCAGAAGAGCUCCAGGUCUCAUCGACCUGAAAUGUCAACACUAUCCAUUGAUGCUGCCUGAGUGCUUUCAGUAUUUUUACUUUUGCCUAAUCUUAUAUUCAGCGGAAAAUACCAUGAGAUGCCACAUAAUAUUCAACUGGCUAAGGAAGAGUGAAACCCAUCCUCUCCUGUAUUACAGGAGCCUGAAGACCACUCUGAAAGAUCCAGAAACAGUUUCUUCCCCUCUAAUAUCAUAUUUCUAAAUGUACUGGAGUACUAUUUUGUUAAGCAACACAAAAUGCCAGAGGAACUGAGGCAGGCCACACAGCAUCUAUGGAAAAGAGUUAACAGUUGACAUUUUGGGCUGAAACCCUUCAUCAGGACAGUCUGGAUGAGUUCUGAAGGAGGUCUUGGCCCAAAACGUCAUCUAUCUAUUCAUUUCCAUAGGUGCUGCCUGACCUACUGAGAUCCUCCGGCAUUUGGUGUGUGUUGCUCAGGAUUUCCAGCAUCUACAGAGUUUCUUGUGCUUAUGAUUUACUACUUUGUUAUUCAUUGUUUUUGGACUGAUUAUUUAUUUGUUUUCUAAUUUAUGUUAGUUUUAUGCCUUUGCACUCUACUGCUGCAACAAAACAACAAAUGUCACAUCACUGUAGGUCAGUGAUAAUAAAUUGGAAUCUGAUCUUGAUUACAUAAGAGUGAGUGUGCAUACUCAUGAACUGUCAUAUUCAGCCCCAGCACCUGUUGAAUAUUUUAUUACAUCAUUUACCUUAAAUGUUCCAUGUGCAACAUUACCUGGUAACCAGGCUCUCUGAUAUGACAUCCUCCUCCCAACUUCAUGCCCAUCCACCUCCAAUCACCAGACUCCACCUCUCCCUCCGCACCCGCCCAGCAGAUACCGGAACAG